GAUGCCUCGGUGUCGAGAGGCGAAGAAGGACGUGGCACUCUGCGAUAAGCCGCGGGGAGAUGAGAGCGAUCUUUGAUCCGCGGAUUUCCGAAUGGGGAAACCCGGCCCUUUAGGGUCAUCGUACGGUGAAUACAUAGCCGUGCGAGGCGAACCCGGGGAACUGAAACAUCUCAGUACCCGGAGGAAAGGACAUCAACCGAGACUCCGUUAGUAGUGGCGAGCGAACGCGGACUAGCCCAGUGGCUCAGACAAGCGAACCGGAACCGGCUGGAAAGCCGGGCCAGAGCGGGUGACAGCCCCGUACGGGUAAGGGUUUGUUUGGGUCCUCGAGUAGGGCGGGACACGUGAAAUCCUGUCUGAACAUGGGGGGACCACCCUCCAAGGCUAAGUACUCCUCGACAACCGAUAGUGAACAAGUACCGUGAGGGAAAGGUGAAAAGCACCCCGACGAGGGGAGUGAAAGAGACCCUGAAACCGAAUGCCUACAAUCAGUCGGAGCCCGCAAGGGUGACGGCGUACCUUUUGCAUAAUGGGUCAGCGAGUUGGUCUUACGAGCAAGCUUAAGCCGAUGAGGUGUAGGCGCAGCGAAAGCGAGUCUGAACAGGGCGUUCAGUUCGUGGGAUCAGACCCGAAACCGGGUGAUCUAGCCAUGGGCAGGCUGAAGGUGGGGUAACACCCACUGGAGGGCCGAACCCACGUU
rnacentral:rRNA from 1 species